rnacentral:tRNA from 1 species
GAGGGUAUUGCUCAGUGGUAGAGCGCGUGCUUAGUAUGCACAAGGUCCUGGGAUAAAUCCCAAGUACCGCCA